AACGCACAUUGCGCCCCCUGGUAUUCCGGGGGGCAUGCCUGUCCGAGCGUCAUUGCUGCCCUCAAGCCCGGCUUGUGUGUUGGGCCCUCGUCCCCCGGCUCCCGGGGGACGGGCCCGAAAGGCAGCGGCGGCACCGCGUCCGGUCCUCGAGCGUAUGGGGCUUCGUCUUCCGCUCCGUAGGCCCGGCCGGCGCCCGCCGACGCAUUUAUUUGCAACUUGUUUUUUUCCAGGUUGACCUCGGAUCAGGUAGGGAUACCCGCUGAACUUAA
rnacentral:misc_RNA from 2 species